rnacentral:rRNA from 1 species
UACAGGGGGGGCAAGCGUUGUUCGGAAUUACUGGGCGUAAAGGGCUCGUAGGCGGCCAACUAAGUCACACGUGAAAUCCCCAGGCUUAACCUGGGAACUGCGUGUGAUACUGGAUGGCUUGAAUUCGGGAGAGGGAUGCAGAAUUCCAGGUGUAGCGGUGAAAUGCGUAGAUAUGCGGAGGAACACCGAUGGCGAAGGCAAUCCCCUGGGCCUGUACUGACGCUCAUGCACGAAAGCGUGGGGAGCAAACAGG